rnacentral:rRNA from 1 species
GCAUGGCUGUCGUCAGCUCGUGUUGUGAAAUGUUGGGUUAAGUCCCGCAACGAGCGCAACCCCUAUUGUUAGUUGCCAUCAUUCAGUUGGGCACUCUAGCGAGACUGCCGGUAAUAAACCGGAGGAAGGUGGGGAUGACGUCAAAUCAUCAUGCCCCUUAUGAUUUGGGCUACACACGUGCUACAAUGGACAAUACAAAGGGCAGCGAAACCGCGAGGUCAAGCAAAUCCCAUAAAGUUGUUCUCAGUUCGGAUUGUAGUCUGCAACUCGACUACAUGAAGUUGGAAUCGCUAGUAAUCGCUGGUCAGCUAUACAGCGGUGAAUUCGUUCCCGGG